rnacentral:rRNA from 1 species
GUGCCAGCCGCCGCUGUAAUACCGGCAGCCCGAGUGAUGGCCGAUCUUAUUGGGCCUAAAGCGUCCGUAGCUGGCCGCGCAAGUCCAUCGGGAAAUCCACCUGCUCAACGUGUGGGCGUCCAGCGGAAACUGUCCGGCUUGGGGCCGGAAGACCCGAGGGGUACGUCCAGGGUAGGAGUGAAAUCCUGUAAUCCUGGACGGACCGCCGGUGGCGAAAGCGCCUCGGGAGGACGGACCCGACAGUGAGGGACGAAAGCCAGGGUCUCGAACCGGAUUAGAUACCCCAGUAGUCC